rnacentral:rRNA from 1 species
CCCAGACUCCUACGGGAGGCAGCAGUGGGGAAUAUUGGGCAAUGGAGGCAACUCUUACCCAGCAAUGCCGCGUGAAUGAAGAAGGUCUUCGGAUUGUAAAGUUCUUUAAUUGGGGACGAAAAAAAUGACGGUACCCAAGGAAUAAGCCCCGGCUAACUACGUGCCAGCAGCCGCGGUAAUACGUAGGGGGCAAGCGUUAUCCGGAUUUACUGGGUGUAAAGGGAGCGUAGACGGCAUAGCAAGUCUGAAGUGAAAGCCCGUGGCUCAACCGCGGAACUGCUUUGGAAACUGUUAAGCUGGAGUACUGGAGAGGCAAGCGGAAUUCCUAGUGUAGCGGUGAAAUGCGUAGAUAUUAGGAGGAACACCAGUGGCGAAGGCGGCCUGCUGGACGGUAACUGACGCUGAGGCUCGAAAGCGUGGGGAGCAAACAGGAUUAGAUACCCGGGUACCG